rnacentral:rRNA from 1 species
UGCUUGUCUCAAAGAUUAAGCCAUGCAUGUCUAAGUAUAAGCAAUCUAUACUGUGAAACUGCGAAUGGCUCAUUAAAUCAGUUAUCGUUUAUUUGAUAGUACCUUACUACAUGGAUACCUGUGGUAAUUCUAGAGCUAAUACAUGCUAAAAACCCCGACUUCGGGAGGGGUGUAUUUAUUAGAUAAAAAACCAAUGCCCCUCGGGGCUCCUUGGUGAAUCAUAAUAACUUAACGAAUCGCAUGGCCUUGCGCCGGCGAUGGUUCAUUCAAAUUUCUGCCCUAUCAACUUUCGAUGGUAGGAUAGUGGCCUACCAUGGUGGCAACGGGUAACGGGGAAUUAGGGUUCGAUUCCGGAGAGGGAGCCUGAGAAACGGCUACCACAUCCAAGGAAGGCAGCAGGCGCGCAAAUUACCCAAUCCCGACACGGGGAGGUAGUGACAAUAAAUACUGAUACGGGGCUCUUUUGGGUCUCGUAAUUGGAAUGAGUACAAUCUAAAUCCCUUAACGAGGAACAAUUGGAGGGCAAGUCUGGU